rnacentral:rRNA from 1 species
AUUGAACGCUGGCGGCAGGCCUAACACAUGCAAGUCGAGCGAGCGGCGGACGGGUGAGUAAUGUCUGGGAAACUGCCUGAUGGAGGGGGCUAACUACUGGAAACGGUAGCUAAUACCGCAUACCAUCAGAUGUGCCCAGAUGGGAUUAGCUAGUAGGUGGGGUAACGGCCCACCUAGGCGACGAUCCCUAGCCGGUCUGAGAGGAUGACCAGCGACACUGGAACUGAGACACGGUCCAGACUCCUACGGGAGGCAGCAGUGGGGAAUAGUGGACAAUGGGCGAAAGCCUGAUGCAGCCAGGCCGCGUGUGUGAAGAAGGCCUUCGGGUUGUAAAGCACUUUCAGCGGGGAGGCGUUACCCGCAGAAGAAGCACCGGCUAACUCCGUGCCAGCAGCCGCGGUAAUUC